rnacentral:rRNA from 1 species
UACGGGGGGUGCAAGCGUUAUCCGGAAUGAUUGGGCGUAAAGAGCUCGUAGGCGGCUCGUCGCGUCGACCGUGAAAACCCGCGGCUUAACUGCGGGCUUGCGGUUGAUACGGGCGGGCUAGAGUUCGGUAGGGGAGACUGGAAUUCCUGGUGUAGCGGUGAAAUGCGCAGAUAUCAGGAGGAACACCGGUGGCGAAGGCGGGUCUCUGGGCCAAUACUGACGCUGAGGAGCGAAAGCGUGGGGAGCGAACAGG